rnacentral:rRNA from 1 species
GACGACCGCUGGCGGCGCGCUAACACAUGCAAGUCGAGCGAAGCGGCGAACGGGUGAGUAACGCGUGAGGAACCUGCCCACCUCUCUGGGAUAACAGUUGGAAACGGCUGCUAAUACCGGAUAGGGGGGGAUGGACUCGCGUCCUAUCAGCUUGCUGGUGGGGUAGUGGCCUACCAAGGAGACGACGGGUAGACGGCCUGAGAGGGCGACCGGCGACAAUGAGACUGAGAUACGGCACAAACGCCUACGGGAGGCAGCAGGGGGGAAUAUGGCACAAUGGGGGAAACCCUGAUGCAGCAACGCCGCGUGCGGGAUGACGUCCUUCGGGUUGUAAACCGCUUUCAGCCAUGACGCGGUAGUGGCAGAAGAAGCACCGGCUAACUACGGGCCAGCAGCCGCGGUAAUUC